GGGCAGCCAAGUCGUGAGGCGGAGCUAAUCCCUUAAAGCCAUUCUCAGUUCGGAUUGUAGGCUGAAACUCGCCUACAUGAAGCUGGAGUUACUAGUAAUCGCAGAUCAGAAUGCUGCGGUGAAUGCGUUCCCGGGUCUUGUACACACCGCCCGUCACACCACGGAAGUUGGGGGGCGCCCGAAGCCACUUAGCUAACCCUUUUGGGAAGCGAGUGUCGAAGGUGAAAUCAAUAACUGGGGUGAAGUCGUAACAAGGUAGC
rnacentral:rRNA from 1 species